rnacentral:misc_RNA from 1 species
GAUGAAGAACGUAGCGAAAUGCGAUAAGUAAUGUGAAUUGCAGAAUUCAGUGAAUCAUCGAAUCUUUGAACGCACUUUGCGCCCGCUAGUAUUCUGGCGGGCAUGCCUGUCCGAGCGUCAUUUCAACCCUCAAGCCCCUCCGGGGGCCUGGCGUUGGGGAUCGGCCCCGCUCCGGCGGCCGGCCCCGAAAUGUAGUGGCGGUCUCGCCGCUGCCUCCUCUGCGUAGUAGAAACACCUCGCAUUGGGACGCGGCGGGCCCACGCCGUUAACCAGAUGAAUUUUUUCAAGGUUGACCUCGGAUCAGGUAGGAAUACCCGCUGAACUUAAGCAUAUCAAUAAGCGGAGGA